UACGUAGGUGGCAAGCGUUGUCCGGAUUUAUUGGGUUUAAAGGGUGCGUAGGCGGCCCUGUAAGUCAGUGCUGAAAUAUCCCAGCUUAACUGGGAGGGUGGCAUUGAUACUGCGGGGCUAGAGUACAGAUGAGGUAGGCGGAAUUGACGGUGUAGCGGUGAAAUGCUUAGAUAUCGUCAAGAACACCUAUAGCGAAGGCAGCUUACUAAGGAGUAACUGACGCUGAGGCACGAAAGUGUGGGGAUCAAACAGG
rnacentral:rRNA from 1 species